UGCAGUCGAGCGGGCGUAGCAAUACGUCAGCGGCAGACGGGUGAGUAACGCGUGGGAACGUACCUUUUGGUUCGGAACAACACAGGGAAACUUGUGCUAAUACCGGAUAAGCCCUUACGGGGAAAGAUUUAUCGCCGAAAGAUCGGCCCGCGUCUGAUUAGCUAGUUGGUGAGGUAACGGCUCACCAAGGCGACGAUCAGUAGCUGGUCUGAGAGGAUGAUCAGCCACAUUGGGACUGAGACACGGCCCAAACUCCUACGGGAGGCAGCAGUGGGGAAUAUUGGACAAUGGGCGCAAGCCUGAUCCAGCCAUGCCGCGUGAGUGAUGAAGGCCCUAGGGUUGUAAAGCUCUUUUGUGCGGGAAGAUAAUGACGGUACCGCAAGAAUAAGCCCCGGCUAACUUCGUGCCAGCAGCCGCGGUAAUACGAAGGGGGCUAGCGUUGCUCGGAAUCACUGGGCGUAAAGGGUGCGUAGGCGGGUCUUUAAGUCAGAGGUGAAAUCCUGGAGCUCAACUCCAGAACUGCCUUUGAUACUGAGGAUCUUGAGUUCGGGAGAGGUGAGUGGAACUGCGAGUGUAGAGGUGAAAUUCGUAGAUAUUCGCAAGAACACCAGUGGCGAAGGCGGCUCACUGGCCCGAUACUGACGCUGAGG
rnacentral:rRNA from 1 species